UUGGAGGGCAAGUCUGGUGCCAGCAGCCGCGGUAAUUCCAGCUCCAAUAGCGUAUAUUAAAGUUGUUGCAGUUAAAAAGCUCGUAGUUGAAUUUCGGGGUUAGUAGGCUGGUCAUGCCUCCGGUAUGUACUGGUCUCACUGAUUCCUCCCUCCUGACGAACCUUAAUGCCAUUAAUUUGGUGUUUUGGGAAAUUUGGACUGUUACUUUGAAAAAAUUAGAGUGUUUAAAGUAAGCUAACGCUUGAAUACAUUAGCAUGGAAUAAUGAAAUAGGACGUUCGAUCCUAUUUUGUUGGUUUCUAGGAUUGACGUAAUGAUUAAUAGGGAUAGUUGGGGGCAUUAGUAUUCAAUUGUCAGAGGUGAAAUUCUUGGAUUUAUUGAAGACUAACUACUGCGAAAGCAUUUGCCAAGGAUGUUUUCAUUAAUCAAGAACGAAAGUUAGGGGAUCGAAGACGAUCAGAUACCGUCGUAGUCUUAACCAUAAACUAUGCCGACUAGGGAUCGGAUGAUGUUAAUUUUUUAAUGACUCAUUCGGCGUCUUACGGGAAACCAAAGUGUUUGGGUUC
rnacentral:rRNA from 1 species